rnacentral:rRNA from 1 species
UUUUGUUCAUGAUGGAUCGACCUUAAAGUCUUAACGAUUACCCUUUUCAACAUGCAACACUUGGGAUGUGGUGCUCAAUCCUGCUAUUUUUUAGUCCAUUAAUUUUUAUGUGUUUUCACCUCAGACAUUUUACUAAUUUCAGUUGGUUUAUAACUAGAGAUGCACAUAAAUAACUUUGUUCUGGUUUUCAUAAAAGAAAUAUGGCACACACCCGGAUGGUUAUUGACUAUAUGCUGCAACCCAUUUUAUUAAGUUGGUCUUUCUUGACACCAUUUUCUAUUGCAGAUUAUUGAAGAUAUAUAGUUUAAGCAAGAGAAUGAGCAGAAGUGUGUUUGGGUGAGUCCCAAAUAAAACAUCUCACUUCUUGUUUUGGAAAUCAUCUAUGCUUAACUCCAAGAGGUCACUAUCUGAAGGGAUGGUACAUUGCGAUAUUUUUCUUCUGUCACUAAGCUUGACAACAUCUCACUUAUUGUUUUGGAAAUCAUAUAUGCUUAACUCCAAGAGGUCACUAUCUGAAGGGAUGGUACAUUGUGAUGUUUUUCUUCUGUCACUAAGCUUGAUAACAUCUCACCAACUGUAGCAGUAAUGUACUGAUUUUUUCUGUAGGUUGUGUUUGGCAAUCGAAUAGAAAUUUUGCUGCUGAGGUAUGAAGGUAAGGACAAAAAUAUUGCCUGUUUUUUGUUUGCCUGGUUGUGUUCAUAGUCCAUUUUAAGCCCAUAUAAUUUUAUGUGGUUUUGAACUGUAUUCACCUGCAUCUAGAAAUAGAAGUUUAAUCUUCUUUCAUCCUUUGAGUGUGUGCUAAAGUUUCUGAUACCUGGAAGUUUUUAUCACAUCAUGCAAUAAUACAAAAAUCAGAAAAGUUCAGAUAUUAUGCAUCAUUUUUUUGGUAAAGACAUUACACAUCGCCUCCCGGGGUAUCUCAAAGGCUAUUACAACAAUUUGAUAUAACUGAGUCAACUGUUUUUUCCUUCUCUUUGUUUUGCAUCAGUAUGUUCUUAUCUAUGAAACCUUCGGCACCCUAUAUCUUUACAAGGAAGGAAACUAGGCCACUGAAUUUCUUUUAAUGGCAUUUAGUUGUAUAGGCGACCUGCUUGCAUAGAUUAUUACAGCAUAAUAUCUUCUUAACUUGUCUUUAGUAACAAACAUUAUAGUACAAAAAUUAGUUUUAGGAGGAUACUACUAAAACUAUUGUGCCAUUGAAAAAAAACUUUUGUGCAAUUUUAAUUUACUGCAUAGUGCAGGCGGAAACA